rnacentral:lncRNA from 1 species
AUGAGAAACCCCUCAUCCAGCCAAGGUGAAGCCUCCUGCCCUCGACAGUCUUCCCUGCUUUUCUUCUGCUCAUUUGAAAACAUGGUUGAAACAAAGCCAACACUAACUACAAAGACAACACUCUUAAGAGAACAGAUGAAGAAGCUGAAAGAAAACAGAGUCCUUCAAUGCUUCAAGGCCGGAAGGCGUGGACUGUUUUAUGAGAGAAAAACGAACUUACUUAACCAAGCAUUUUUUGUUGUUGUUCUUGUUACAACUUGUCUAUGUAUCCUGGCAUGUUUUUCUUUCAAUAUUAAAUAAUGGUGAGUGAAAGUUGCUCAGUCGUGUCCAACUCUUUGUGACCCCAUGGACUAUACAGUUCAUGGAAUUCUCCAGGCCAGAAUACUGGAGUGGGUAGCCUUUUCUUCUCCAGGGGAUUUUCCCAACCCAAGGAUCGAACCCAGGUCUCCCAUAUUGCAGGCAAUUCUUUACCAGCUGAACCACCAGGGAAGCUCAAGAACACUGGAGUGGGUAGCCUAUCCUUUCUCCAAUGGAUCUUCCUGACCCAGGAAUUGAACACAGGGUCUCCUGCAUUGCAGGCAGAUUCUUUACCCACUGAGCUAUUUGGGGCCAAAUAGAAUUUAAUUUACAAGAGUUACUUCCCUUAGUUGCACAGAACAUUUUUUUUUUUUCCUAGAAAGUUCGAAAAAUUUUCUUUUUCUGAAAAUUUGGGAAUCCCAAAUGUUAAAGGACUUCCAAAAAGGUUUCCUGAUGUUACUUCUUCAUCACCAAUCCAUAUUCGCCUUCAGCUGCCACGUUGCCACUGUUGGCUACCUCCUCAUUGUGAAACAGAAUGAACUGAGUCCAUGCUAACCCUAGAGCUCAGACUGUAGUCCUGACACCCUAUUUCCAGUGUGAUUGGAGGAGUCAAACUAUGGUUUAGUUUCUCUCAGCAGCUGUCACUUCCUUAUGAGGUCAGCACAUUGCUAUGUUCAAGUUGCAAAGACAAAAAACCUCACAAUAGACUGAGGCUCUUAUACAGCUAGUCAGAGUCCACCAUCUCUGUAAAUAAACCCCACCUAUUUUCAGCCUUAUACCACUCCUUUAACUCAUCUCAUAGCGUGCGUGCUUAGUCAUGUCUGACUCUCUGUGACUCCGUGGACAGUAGCUGCCAGGCUCCUCUGUCCACGGGAUUCUCUAGGCAAGGAUCCUGGAAUGGGUUGCCAUGCCCUCCUCCAGGGGAUCUUCCCCACCCAGGGAUCACACUUGCGGCUCUUGUGUCUCCUGAAUUGGCAGGUGGAUUCUUCAGCACUGCACCACCUGGGAAGGCCCUCCUUUCACUACCACUUCUCAAUUCUCACUCUGACCCAAGCAAAUUUACAAAGUCACCUUACAAGGAAUUUACUAUGUCUUCCCAGUGUGCGAUGGUAAACUUUUUGUAGGCUUGCAGAAUUUAUGAUUAUUUUGUAUUUCCCACGUGUCUAAGAGUGUAUUCGAUUUUAUAUAUUCAGAUCAGCAGUUUAAUAAAUAGUCAUUAAAUAUUUUCCUGUGUUUCCAAUAAAUCUCUCAGUGAGAAAAACAUUUUACAUGAAAGUGUAGGGAUUUCUCUGGUGGUCCAGUGGUUCCAUGCUCCCAAUGCAGAGGGCUUGGGUUCAAUCCCUGGUCAGGGAACUAGAUCCCACACGCCACAACUAAAAAUCACACACGCCGCAAUGAAGAUCAAAGAUCCCGAGUGCCUCAAUUAAGGCGGGUACAGCCAAAUAAAUAAAUAAUUUUUUAAAGAAAAGAAAACGUAUAAUUCUGGAACCUGUAGUUGAGGCUUAAGUAUCUUGCCAAGACUGUGUGUCUAGUUGUAUAUAUUUUUCUUUAUAAACAAAGAAUUGAAGAUAAUCUAAAUGUUAAACAAUAGAAAAUUGACUAUAUUUUAAUAUGCACAAUUAGAAUACUAUUGAGCCUCUUAACUAUGUGUGCGGGUCUAUGUGUUGAUUACAAUCACCCAGAGAAAUUCUGAAAAACAACAGAUCAAUGGUAUUGAAGGGAAAAGAUGGGGAUAAAGACUGGGUCAUGGAGAUAAUUACUGUUGAAAUUAAGCAACAUGUGUAUGGGUGUUCAUUAUACUGUUCCUUCCACUCUGUACAUGUUUGAAAUGUUCUGUAAUAAAAAAUGGUUAGGGACUUUCCUAGUGGUCCAGUAGCUAAGACUCCCACUCACAAUGCACGGGGCCUGGGUUCAAUCCCUGUUCAGGAAACGAGAUCCCACAUGCUACAAUGAAGAUCGAAGAUCCUGCACGCCACAGCUAGAACUAGCCCAGCCAAAUGAAUAAAUGAAUACAUUUUUUAAAAGCUUAGUUUUGUGAAUCCUACUCCAGGUUUCUUGAAUCAGAAUAGCAACAGAUAGGACAGAGGAAUCUGUUUUUUGAAUUUCCCCAGGUGAUUCUGAAGAUCAUCCAGCAUAUCCGGGAACACCUGAAAAUUCGGAUGGCAUCAGAGAGGCAGCGCCUACUACGCAUGAAAAAGGAAAUUAUGGAUCUUU